rnacentral:rRNA from 1 species
UACGUAGGGCGCAAGCGUUGUCCGGAAUUAUUGGGCGUAAAGAGCUCGUAGGCGGCCUGUUGCGUCCGCUGUGAAAUCCCGGGGCUUAACCCCGGGCCUGCAGUGGAUACGGGCAGGCUGGAGGCAGGCAGGGGAGAACGGAAUUCCCGGUGUAGCGGUGAAAUGCGCAGAUAUCGGGAGGAACACCUGUGGCGAAAGCGGCUCACUGGACCGCAACUGACGCUGAGGCGCGAAAGCUAGGGGAGCAAACAGG